rnacentral:lncRNA from 1 species
CUCUGGCCGCCUUUUUGGCACACAAACGUGAGGAUGUGAACAUUUUCAAGCAUUUGACCAACAAGAUCUGAAUGUGAUAUGACCAGAAUUUUAGAAAUGAAAAUAUUGAUCUCAGAACAAUCUGAAAUUUCUAGUACUGUGGUUAAAUGAUGUACAAUAUUUGAGUUUUUGUGUUUUAGAAAAAUUAUAAUCUGCCACAGCCUCCUUGGGAUACGUGGAUGUAUUCCUGACUCCAGGCGCUCUCUGGAUACAUCUUUAGGUGUGUCUUCUACUUACACAAGGAAAAUGAUCCCUUAGCAAUACUAGUCAAGUCCUCACCAUUUGUUAGUUGCAUGUAAAUAGCAAGAGACUGGUUGACUACAGUUAAUCCUGAAUAGUCCUACAUUAUCUUACGAUGUCCGUGUGUGGAAACAACUAAGGCAC